GACGAACGCUGGCGGCGUGCUUAACACAUGCAAGUCGAACGGAAAGGCCCUGCUUUUGUGGGGUGCUCGAGUGGCGAACGGGUGAGUAACACGUGAGUAAGCUGCCCUUUACUUUGUGAUAACUUCAGGAAACUGGGGCUAAUACCGGAUAGGAGCUCCUGCUGCAUGGUGGGGGUUGGAAAGUUUCGGCGGUUGGGGAUGGACUCGCGGCUUAUCAGCUUGUUGGUGGGGUAGUGGCUUACCAAGGCUUUGACGGGUAGCCGGCCUGAGAGGGUGACCGGCCACAUUGGGACUGAGAGACGGCCCAGACUCCUACGGGAGGCAGCAGUGGGGAAUAUUGCACAAUGGGCGGAAGCCUGAUGCAGCAACGCCGCGUGCGGGAUGACGGCCUUCGGGUUGUAAACCGCUUUCGCCUGUGACGAAGCGUGAGUGACGGUAAUGGGUAAAGAAGCACCGGCUAACUACGUG
rnacentral:rRNA from 1 species